CAGUAAUCGGGGGAGAAAAAGUCCUGAUUUAUAGUACUCAUGGGGGCACCGGGGUGGCUCAGUCGGGUAAGCAUCCGACUUCGGCUCAGGUCAUGAUCUCGCGGUUUGUGAGUUGGAGCCCCGCGUCGGGCUAGGUGCUGACAGCUCGGAGCCUGGAGCCUGCUUCGGAUUCUGUGUCUCCCUCUCUCUCUGCCCCUCCCCCGCUCACGCUCUUGUCUCUCUCUCAAAAAUAAACAUAGUAUUUGUCGAUUUCUGUGGUGUGAAUAUUCUUUCUACGGCCAAUGCAAGCGGCCAGCGUGGUAUCAGUGCCUCGGAGCUGGGAAGAGACGCCCCAUAACACCCCAUUAUAGUGUCCCGCCUCCCAGGCUCAGCAGGUGUAAAUGACUUCAUGGGUAAUAGUAACAGGAAGUGAAAUAAUCAGGAAGUGAUAAGUUUUGAGAAGCCACUACCUUUGUGUCUAAGAUAAUCUAUCUAAUAGUUAGCUCCUAUGAUUUGAUGUUUUGCAGCGGCCGUGUUUAACAACCGGUUUACAAAAUCCCUGAAUGUUUAAGCUGGCACGGAGCUGUCUGGAGGGAGUCCGGCAGCGGAGGAGACAGGCUCCGUGAACGCAGCCACCACCUCGUGGGGCUUGUCACGUGGUGAUCUGGCUCCAGUGGACUCUUGGGAAGAUUUCCCGCAGGACCUCCACCUCCGAUGGCUGCAGAGCCGCCCGGAGGAAGUGAGGUCCACAGAGGGAUCUCGGAAUUCAGCUCUCAACUAGACCAGGGCAGCAGAGUCAGUGAAGAAUGUUCUGCUGCUCAAGCAUUUGACGUCGACCGGGCUUCCUCGUCUGAACUUAGCCCCUCGACCUCAUCCUCCAUACCCAGCCUCACCACGGACGGGGGGCUCCAGAGACCCACGUUGGAACCCCACCCCAGUCGCGUUUUGGAAGACUAAGAGCGAGAGAAAUGUGGCAGGAGGCAGAACAUCCGUACCCUGUGGUUUGUGGUUUAUAGCCAGCAUCAACCGGGAGCUGAAUUUUGUCAAAUGCCUUGUUGGCGUGUGUGGACGUGAUCACGUGGUUCUUCUCCCAGCUCUGUGAAGAGGAUAGAUUUCCUGAUAUUAAACCGCCCUGCAUUUCUGGAAAAAAAUCCCACUUGCUCGUGACAUAUUAAACGUGUUUGGGGAUUCUCUCUGCUUCUGGCUUUAUGAAAAAAUGUUCGCGUCGGUAUUUGUUAGUGACAGACUGUCUUUGUCAGGUCUGCUAGCGAUGUUCUAUUAGCUUCAUGGAAGUAACACGGAAGCUUACGUUCUUUUUCUGUGCUUUGUGAUGGUUCAGGCAGCUUUCCGAUCAACUGGUCUUUAAGGUUUUCAUAGGGUCCCUUGGUGAGUUUUGUGUUUGAGUUUUCUCCUUUUCUUCUGUGACAGCUCUCUGCAUACACAUUUUAUCUCUACUUGGGUUGAUUUUGGUACAUUUGACUUUCUUAGAAGUUUAUCCAUUCUAUCCAGGUUUUUAAAUUUGUUUGCCUAAACUAGCGCUUAUAUGUAUAUAUAUAUGUAUAUAUAUAUAUAUAUAUACAUAUAUAUGUAUAUAUAUACAUAUAUAUGUAUAUAUAUAUAUAUGUAUAUAUAUAUA
ensembl:lncRNA